GUGGUUUAGCUCAGUGGUUAGGGCUUAGGUCUUGUGACCGGAAUGUCCUGGGAUCGAAUCCCGACAGGCAUA
rnacentral:tRNA from 1 species